UAGCUCUUCCUCUUGCUCUGCCUCUUUCAGCCGCUUCUCUGAGUUUCACGUGAAAACCUUAUUUUCCAAAAAUGAACUCUUUUUACUUAUUCCAGCUUAUAUAUAUUUUCAAAUAAUUAUUAUUCCAAUAAUAAUAAUAAUUCAAUAAUUCCAAAAUAAUAAUAGUAAUAAUCCAAUUAUCUAAUUAAAUUAAUAAAUAUAUUAUUAACUUAAUUUAAAUAAUUACCAUAUUAUUAUCGGGGUGUUACACUACACAUGUGACUGAUAUAUGCAAAACUUUAUUAUGGCCAUUCCCCUCUAGAGGUAACUCAGCCUCAUUAAAUCCCAAAUAUCUAUUGGCAGUGACAUUAGAAACCAUAUCAUCAAAUUGAUCAACUGUGAUAUCUUACAUCACAUGGGCAAUAUUUAGGACUUUCAAUAGCGCUUUCCGAUGAGCCCCAGAACUCAACAACAAAGACAUGAUUGAAAUCUUCGAUGGGGUAUGACCCAACUGUUCCAUAAUCUUGAAGUCACUAUUCUUUAUCAGCUUAAGGAAUUCCUGACCUUCCCCAGCAGUGAUACUCUUCUUGUGAUAUUCAGUUUGUUCAUGCUCAUUCACUAUUUCUUUACCUUUAGAAGUCUCAGCUUCUGCAGCUUUGUUAGGAGUAGCUUUUGUCAUAGACAGAAUAAUUGUCAUGACUGGAGUAGUAGAAAUAGAUGCCCCUGCCUGUGGAGAAGGAGUGGGAACAACCUUAUCUUUUGGAGGGAUAACUGCAGGUGAUGGGGAUACCCUAGGAAUGUACUUUGGAGAAAAUAACCAACUACUAUGGGUCGUGCCUCCGGUUCCAGCUACGUUGACAAUCUCAACAUCGGAAAAUUGAAUUAUCUUCCCACCCACAUACGCUGUAGUAUCAUAUCUCCAAGGCACUCCCUUGGUGUCUUGAUAUGGGAACGAACCAGGAAGACAAAUGUGAAUAGGAUGGAUCCUCCAAGGAGGAUCUUCAAUCUUCUGCUUUCUGUAGAUAAUCGUUAUCGGCUCAAUAAUAGAGACUUCUUCAACCACUUUUGAUCUGGAAAACUACACACUUCUUUGUUUUAUCAAACUUUGGACACAUUCCUUCAACACAACACACUUAUCAGGAUCUGUAUCACAAACAACACAGUCGUUAUGUAUACCUUCAAGAAAACCAUAGCCCCGAAGCUUAUCUACAACCACUGACAUGAGAGUCUUCACAUUGACAACCCUCUGACUGAUUAUGUACCUUCUUCCUCAAUAACUGCACUGGUUACCGACCCAUUAUGAGUAGGUAGAGGAUUGGUACUCAUGUUAGGCUUUUCCUCAGUGAAAGACAAAAUUUUCUGGUCAAUGAGGUCUUGCACCUUGUUCUUGAAAACAAAACAAACCUUGGUAGAAUGCCCUAUAUAUCCUGCGUAAAACACACAAGAUACAUUGGGAUUAUGCUUUUAAGAGUAGAGGUAAGUAGCGGGUGGGAUCUCUUUAGGAACAAUUUCCCUUACGUGAACCAGGUAGGGGAACAACUAAGUUUAAGGCACAAGUAUUCUGUCAAAUGGAGGAUGCCUUUUAUCGUUAUGAUUACGCCGAUUCUGACUUUGACCUAGGUUACCCUGAGAAGGUUAUUGAUACUACCACAUCUCGAAAAAUACGAUUCCUCGCGAUGGUCGCGGAAAAAAUGAUUCGAACAGAGUCGUCACAGAACUUUAUUUAUUCCAAUGAGGGAAUAGGAAAAUAUUGAUAAAACCUUUAAAAAUAGAAUAAUGGUCGUCGCAACCAUAUUCGGUUUCGGGAGUCGAUUACAUAAAGGGAAGAUAUUAACACCCCUCACAUUCGUUGUACUCAACAAGAACCUUUUAGUCUGAUUUGCGAUUUGAAUGUUAACUAAAUGUUAUUUGUUUUCUUCGAGUGAAUAAAAGAUUGAAAAUAGAAAUGAAUGAAAAGCUCAGAAAGGGGGAAAAGGGAGGUUUUUUAUUAGUGUGCUCACCAAGAUCUCGCAAUCUCGUACCUACGUAUCCUUAUCGUGCAAUAAAGAAAUCAGGGCAUUCAUAGUUCGGGGAACUAUGAUUUGUUGGUGUUUUUUAGUGAACAAUUAUUUAGAUCAUAUUCUAAAGGCUAAACAUUGGCUUGUCUACUUUCGGUGGAGGCUUAAGCACUGGUUUUUUAUGCGCGUUAGAAAGGAUUGAACAAUGUUCUUUCUAAAGAGUUUUUGAUAAGUUGGAUUACUAUAUUGGAAGUUUCAUUUGAAUGACGAUUACUCGGAUAGUCGAGUAAGGCAACUCGUAUCCAAGAAGUCGAGGAGAGGAACAGAAGGCUCUAGAUUAUCUCCCUUUUCAUCCUUAAUUGCAAAAGGAUUUGAUAAUAGUUAAGGCAUUUUAAAUGGAUGAUGAAUACUCAGAUGAUCAAGUAAGACAACUCGUAUCCAAGUAUUCGGGAAAGGGAAUAGAAGGCUCUAGACCAUUUUCCUUUUCAUCUAAGUGAUUAUGAAAAUAAGUUUAUGUAUGGUUGAUGUAUUUUAGAUAAACGAUGAAUACUCGAACAAUAGAGUAAGACAACUCGUAUCCAAGUACUUGAGGAGAGGAAUCGAAAGCUCUAGAGCAUCUCCCUUUUUGUUUAGAUUUUUUACAAAAAAAGGAUUUGAUUUAAUUGUUUUAUAAAUUUUUAGAGAAAUGACAAUUGUUUGAAUAAUCGAGAAAGGGAACUCGUACUCAAUCAAUCAAGGAGAGGAGUUGAAGACUCAAAACCAUCCCCCUUUUCAUUUUUAAAGAAAAUAAUGUUUGAAUAUGAUUAGGUAUUUUAAUUUGAUUUGAAUAAACAUACUCGAUGAUGGAUCGGGGUUUGGAUUUGUAUUUGUGGAUGAAUUAAAGGUAUAAUUAUCUAAUAGAGGUAUGAGGUAACGAAAGGAUUGUGGCUAAACUUAAUCAACCAAAUGCAAGUAAAUGAAUGUAGAUGUGUCAAUCAAAUCUCAUUGUAAGGAAGCCCAAGACUAAGCUAUGUGAGGUUGAUGGCGAUGCUAAAAGUGAUCGACUUAUGAAGGUGUUUUUUGGAAACGACUUGACAUUAAAUCAAGAAUUAGUUUGAAAAUGGUUUAAGUGUGUAGGUGAGAAAUAAAAUCAACAUAUUAUCAUGACAUGGGCAUAUCGUAUGAGAAGUUGCAUUAUCAAAAUAAUCGAUCAAAGAUCACACAAAUGAACCAAAAUAUACAAGAGAAAGAAAAUUAACUAAAUUAAAUAAGAUUGUCUAAUGAAAUUAAUCAAUAAUCUUAAUUAAAUAAAUAUAUUCAAAAUAAUUAACUUUAUGCUAUUUAUAUUUUUUAUGAAUAUAAGAAAAAAAACAUUAUUGGGAUAUAAAAUAAGUAAAGUUAUAUGUAAAAAAAACAACAAAAAAACAACAUGGGUCAAGAAGUGGUAAAAAUGAAAAUGGGGGGGGGGGGGGGGGUAAANGGGGGGGGUGUAAAACCAAGCCCAACGGAUAUAAAGCCCAAUCUCCAGGGAGAGUCCAUUGGACUCUCAGUCAAACAUGUUGACUAAAGAAGAAAACCUUCACCGUCAAAUUUGUAGAUAUGACUUGGUCAAAUGAUCAAAAGGGUGGAAACCAGUGGGCAUGCACAUAUGUUGUAUGGGAUCCACAUGGGAUCCCUUAGUUGACCGCAAGGUCAAAUACGCAUGGCUGAUUCAGGGAAGACCAUUUGGCCUAGAGAGAAUAACCCAAUGCAACAAUGCACAUGUAUAAAUCAGUUAGGCAAAAGGAAAUAGGGUUUCAUUUGAAACUCUCAUUCUCUUUCCUCUUAAAUACUCUUCGUCAUCUCUUUGCAUUUUACUUGACUCCAACCACCUCUCUGCCAGAGAAGAAGGUGGCAGACGGCUGACCACGGCGUCGCCGCCCUCUUCUCCAGCCAACCACCAAAACAAAAUACCUUCUCCACACAAAACAACCUCUUGAGUUCGAAUCUGACUCAGGUUUCCCGACAACCUCCUAAAUCAAUCAAAUCGAGACCCCUGACAAAAACCCAAAUUUUAAAAUAAAAAACCCAAACCCUUACCGUACAAAUCCUAGGUUGAAUUGUCUCCUACACACAAAUCAGAAACCAAAACUCACAAAAAACACAACAGAAAAUUCACAAAUCAAAGUCCUAAUUCAAACCCUAAAACUAUAAACAACAACGAUUUGAUGUAAUUUAUAUGGGGCUCAUGCACAAUUUAUCAAAAUGAACAAGAAGGUGCAAGAAUUUUAAACAAAGAGCAAGAAAAUGUACUUGACCUAAGUUACUCCGGAGAUAUCUUCUCUGGCGAAGUUCAAAUGAGUUCUUCCCUUUUUUCUUUUAUCUUCUCUCUUUAAUGCCUUCCUUCUUCUUCUAUCUCCUUUUCUAUGAACUUUUGACUGCUGUUGAUGUUUCGUUUGGGUGAGGGUUUGGCUCUCCAAAAUUUGAAUUUCAAUGUGAAAUUCAAAGUUGAAAUAAGAUGUUAGUGAGCUUUAGUAAUGGGGUUUUGGAAUGUUUUUACAGUAAUUUUUAAUGCGAUCCCCUUCUCCUCCUUUUUUACUCUAUGUGUCUUGAUCUUAUAAGAAUGUCAGAAUUAUGAUGAAGGGGUGAGGUACGUGUGAAGAAUUGGUUAAGAAAGGCUUGCUCGUGUGGAUUUUUACAUGAAUGAUGAGCUGGUAUCUUCUGCGAAUCAUUCUAUUGGAGAGAGACCUUCUGAAAUCCCUGAUUUUAUGGAUUUGCUUUUGUCAGUGGCAAAUGAGAAAGGUGUUUUCUUUUCUACAUACACUAUGUUGCUUCUACUUUUUUUGAUGCAUUCUCUUUUCCUAUUUUGUUAUCUGUACAUAAUAUCAUUUUUUGUGAUCGCAGCGGUCCCACCAACUUGGGAUGUAUGGAUAGUCCUGACAUGAGUACAUGGAUGUUACUCUCGAUUGGUCAUAUGUUGUUUAAAUGAUUAUGUAUACUGAAUGAAUCGAUGGAAAGGUUUACGCAUAUGCUCACCGAGAGGUAUGUAAUGUUGUAUUCUCACUGAGAGGUAUGUAAUGUUGUAUUCUCAUGUAUGUAUGUGUGAUGAGUUAAAAUUGUGGUUCCCUAACUAUUCUAUCUAACUUUGUUCUAAUUAAUUUUAAUGUACGCAUGGACAUUAGGGAUGAUGGGCCUCUAAUGACCUCAAUUGGAUUUUUAAUUGGGUUACUCAUGCAGUGUCAAAUGUUAGGAACACAUGAUGAUAUGCUUUGUAUUUCUGCUAUUUGAGUUUUCUCUUUUAUGCAACAUGAUUUUUAGUGAUUGAUCACGACAUGGAAAUGGUUGACUCAAAGAUGAAGAAAGAACGAGGUUUUAGGCAUGGCGAGCCAGGAUUGAAUAAAAUGAUUGUUGGACACUAGCAUCUUAAGUUUUUGAGUGCUUAGGUUUUAGGAUUUGAUUUUUUAGCAAAGUUUUCAAAAUGUAAAACCAAGAGGUGACUUGAAAUGUAAAUGAAUUUCUAAGCUUUUAUUUCUAAUACAAAUGUAAACUUGACAAUGUAAAAAUCCAAAUGUAACUCUUUCUUUUUUAUGCUUUUGUAUGCUAUAUGCUAUGAUCAAGUGAUAAAAUAUAAAUUAUUUAACCCAUAA
rnacentral:lncRNA from 1 species